AGAAACCACACAACACUCUAGAUCUCAGAUCAGUUUAGGAAGGGCAAAUUGACAUCCCUCUUCUCUCCUCUUUCCUACUGAGUUAAUUGAGUAGACCUGAAUGAGCAGAGUAGCAGAAUAGCAGUAGACCUGAACGAGCAGAGCAGUGUUGGGAGCAUAAUAGUAGUUGAAAGAAUAUUUGAAAAUGUUUGAAUGAUGGGUGGAAAAUUGGUUUCCUAAGUCUCCUGAAAAAAAUACUGGGUUAGCAAGAAUAUUUGCAACUCAGGAUUUAUUCUGUGCAAAAAAAAAUAGUGUUAUUUUUGUGUGCAGAAAACAGCCUUUUCUGUAUAGAAAACAAGUGCCAUGCACAAAAUGAGAACAUUUCUGCACAGGAAAAAAGACACCUGUGUUUCUUACGAAGUCCUGACAGAUGGAUAUGCUUUCACAUAGCAGCGAACAAAAGGGCAAUAUGAUUAAGCAUUUCCUAUAAGAAUUGGAUUUCCGAAGAUUUACAUCGCUGAAUCACUGCUUUCUAUCACUGCCUGAGGAGACCCUUCAAAGGCCAAGCUUCUCCAAUGCCAGCAGAGAGCCCCCUCUAUGUUGUGGAAAAACCGUUUUGGAAGCCUUAGGAAGACCCCAAAGAGGAAAGAGAGCUCACCUGAAACACUAUGUACAGUUUUGGGCACCUGAAUUCAAGAAAGAGAUCAACAAGGUAGAAAGUGUACAGAGAAGGCUCGCCAAAAUGGUACAAGGUCUUGAAACAAAACCCUAAGCAGGAAGACUAAAUAAGCUGGGUAUAUUUAGAAGGAAGAAGAGAAGACUGAGAUGUGGUAUGGUAGCCAUCUCUAAGUAUCCAAAUGGAUAUCAGUUGAAGAGCCCUUGGUAUACAAAGCAACCAUAAAGAUGUCUGAAACAGAAGAAUAGAAUUAUAGUUGCAAAAAAAGAAAAUGAAUCUCUAAAGAAGAAAAGCAAGGGGAAGAGACAAAUGUUCUAAUCUUACCUUCAUCAUAAUCUUAUUAGCAUUUCUCAGGGAGAGAAGUUCAAGUAUCAGUCUAUAUUCUUAUGAAGCUGUCUCAUAAAUAUGUCAAGUGCAAAGUAUAGUUAUUUUAAUAGUCUGUGUUGGUGGGCCAUCCUGGAUUUAAUUAAGAGACAACUAGUGUAUGAAAUAUGGCAUGAAAGGACCAGACUAAAUGGAGAAAUGGUUUAUUGCAGCUCCAAAUUAGGGGGCACAGACUUAAUGAUGAUCUGGUCUCAGAAAUCCUACUUAAACUUAAUUAAUACCGAUGGUAGCAGGCCUGCCAAGGGAGGAGCAAAAGAUAGAGGCACACAGGAGAAAUUAAUGGCUUAAGCUAGCAUGUGAUUUUUAUCAAGAGAUCUGCAUUAGUUCAAACAGCACUCUGUUAUUUAUGGAAAGAAAUCUUACUGAGUUCCUGCCCUGCUUCCAGCACUGAAGUAAAAUUCAUUAUGUGCUAUUUAGGUUGCUUUACUGAAGCUUGCCACAUUGUGUUGUUGUUGUUGUUGUUUAUUCAUCCAGUAACUUCUGACUCUUUGUGACCUCAUGGACCAGCCCACACCAGAGCUCCCAGUUGGCCAUUGCCACCCCCAGCUCCUUCAAGGUCAAGCCAGUCCCUUCAAGGAUACCAUCCAUACAGCUUGCCCUUGGUCGGCCCCUCUUCCCUUUUCCUUCCAUUUCUCCCAGCAUCAUUAUCUUCUCCAAGCUUUCCUGUCUUUUCAUUAUGUGGCCAAAGUACUUCAUCUUUGCCUCUAAUAUCCCCUCCAGUGAGCAGUCGGGCAUUAUUUCCUGGAGUAUGGACUGGUUGGAUCUUCUUGUGGUCCAAGGCACUUUCAGAAUUUUCCUUCCAUACCACAGUUCAAAAGUGUCUAUCUUCCUUCACUCGGCCUUCCUUAUGGUCCAGUUCUUGCAUCCAUAGGUUACCACAUGUGUAUAUUACAUAGGUUACUGUAGUCUUCCUGCAUUGUAGAUCAUUGGGAGGGAAGACCAAAGACCUCUCACAUGUUCUCUGAGAAGAGUAUAACUGUUUUUUUGUUCCAGGAGACAAAAAAGAUGGAUGUGAGGACAAUUGUGCUUGUGGAAAGAGCUUGAUUAAGUUCUCUCACUGCCUCAGUCUUAUAGACAGCAUCUCCUAGAAGCCUUCAGCCAGUUUAGUAUUCAUCAAUACUUGCUAGGCAAUUGUUAGAAUUGCAAUCCAAAGACAGUGGGGGCUAGAGGCUUCCAUGUCAAUAGAGUGGUGAAUUACCUUCAGGUUUUAGUUUUAACAUUAAAAGAACUAUCAGAGGUAUUGGAUCUAUUUGGAGAAUGGUUUCCGCACCUUAGAUAGCGCAUUGACAGUUUGGACUAACAUCCCGAAUGGAUUCAUUGCCCACUACCAGUGAUCUCUAGUAACUUCCAAAUGGAUGUAUUCCAAAUGAUGGUCUCUGCUGAAAACAUUUUUUAAAAAUCCAGUAUUUCUGCACAGAAAACUACUUUGCCACUUAACUAUGGCACUGCAAUAUAUUGCAUCUCUUCACCAAUUUGAGCUGCUACAAAAAAUGAGCAGGCUGACAUUGAAACAGGAAAAUAUAGUUUUAUCCAACAUGAGAAAGAAAAAGGAUCUGAUCUGAGGUGAACCUGCCCUCAAUCCUUUUAAGCAUCUCAUCCCUUCAUCAAAAGCUGCUCCUAUGGCUUAGCCUUGGGACAGUAUGGUACGGUGCAGAAGGCUGGGGUAGAGAGCAUAAGUAACAAGCAGACACCACAGCAUAUGUGAAUACAAGCAUUUCCCACUAAAGCUGAGCUGAGUAACAAUAUACUUGUGACACCCCUAUCUUUUCCUCUUCCCACAAACACAAUUGUCCCCACAUCCAUCCUGGAACAAAAAACAAUUAUACUCUUCUCAGAGAACAUGUCUUUGGUCUUCCCUCCCAAUGAUCUACAAUGCAGGAAGACCUUCUGUUACCCUCUUGUAUAGAGCUGUCUAUGUGUUGUAUAGAGCUGUCUAUCCUGAGAUGGGAGAAAAAUUGAAGUCUGUUCCCCACCUCAGCAAUUUAUAGCAACAUUGUCGCGACAGACACCACUUCCAACUUAACAAUUCUAUUUAAAAUUGCAGGGGAAGGAAGUCUUUCUGCAACCAUGGCAGAAAUUUGUAUUAGGAUUUAGGAGAAUGUUUUGAGUAUAAUAUGUUAAUUAUGUGUGCAAAUAUGUAAUGUGUAGAUGUGAUAGAUAUGCUUAUGCUGCAUAUUAUACCCUCACACUUUUCAUCAUCAUCAUCAUCAUCAUCAUUUAAUUACUUAUUAAUCGCCCUCCAUCCACGAUGCUCUAGGCGAUUUACAAGAUAAAAUUGUAAAGGAUAAAAAUACAUACAUACAAAUAUUAAUAAAAUUAACAUAGAUUAAAAGCUCUAGUAAAGAGCCAGGUCUUUCACAGAUGAAAACCAGGAUACAUAUGGCCAAGUAGCAUCAGAGUAUAGCCAAGACAGCAAAAGUUAUUAAUGAGGAAAAGAACAUAAACUAGGAUAGGUUGUAGCAGUUUACUUUUGCCUAAGCUUUCUGGGAUGGGCAAGAUUUCACCCACUUUUCUCUCCACACCUAACUAGAAUGAGUCCAAACUACUUUUGUACUUUAACUCUGUUUUAAGCAAUUGCAAUAUGCUGAGGACUAAGGGGAAAACAUGGGCAGAGGAGAAAGACUGACUACUUUUGAAGCAGUUCUACUUUUGACAAUUGUAGAUUGUGGCAUAUGUGCAAUAGAAUGUUUUGUGUGUUGAUGUGCACUUGUUUGUGUAACAUAUGUGGAAAUACUUAUCCAUGAGAGUGCGAGUUUUGGCAGCCCACCCAACAUUCUACAUCACUUUCAUUCUCAGGAAUGUUUUCCAUCUCUGCACUAAGACUAGUCACUUGCAGACAUGGGCCCAUUUGCCCAUUGUAUUAGGCUCCCGUCUCCCAGUUUCAGCAUAGAGCCCUUCCUGCGAUGCAGAUCAAUUUUUGGCUGGGCUUUGUACUGAAAGAGGAGAGGAAGCAGUGCACACCACCAAGACAGAAACUUGGGAGCCUUCCCAUGUUGCCUUCCCAGCAAUGAAGAGAAGCUGGGAAGUGAUGCUUCACUCCAUGGGAUGGGGGGCAUGUUAAGGUGUGCUAUGUGGGGCAUGGAGUGAUGGUUUCUUCAUGCCCCCCACCAGGAGCCCAUGGAUUCACCACAAUGCAGGACAAAUCCAUGGGCUAAGAUUAAAUGAAAAGGCCCCAUCUACAUUGAUCACUUAUGUGGUUUCAAACCAAUACUGAAGAAAGUGUUUUCACUGUGCAGAUGAUUACAUAGGAAAUCCUGGAACCAGUUUGAGGCCUGGAUGGAGAUGACACAAAUCACAGAGCACAGUUGCAUAUUAAGGGUUUUCUUUCACAUGCUGUUGUGAUUGUUUGUUGUCUGGAUGCCACAGUCUGAAAUUAGCAGCAAAUUGCAUUAAAUGGUCAGUGUAGAUAGGGUCUCCAACUCCCUAAAUAAUGUGAAUCAUAUUUAGAACUACAGAUGACUGUUGAUUCCUCUUUUUCCCACAUCCAGAUCUUUGAAUUUUGGUAAAUUUAGAUAAACAGAAAUUCUCAUUCAAUCCUACUUUGAUCAUGUGUAUCAGUUUUCAUAUUGACUUCUAAGUAAUUAUGUUCCCAACAAAUAAACAGAAUGUGGAGCAGG